GCAGCCAGUGUCUUGUGACUGGCGGCGCCUGUCUCUUCAUGAUUCUGGUAAUUCUGAUGUUAUAUCAUCAGAUUCUGAUUUUAGUGACAGUGACGCUUCCGUACGGGAUUCUUGUUGUUCCCAAAGCUCGAAGGUUAGAAUAGCUGCGAUAGUUUGCAUACAGGAUCUUUGUCAGGCUGAUUCAAAGUCAUUUACCACUCAGUGGAUGACUCUCUUUCCAACCAGUGAUGUACUCAACCCAAGGAAGUCUGAAGCUACUCUGAUGACCUG